UAGAGAUACUUCAAAGUUACUGUGCCUAUGUGUGACGUGUAGGAAGCACCAUGACGACUUGCAUGGUGAAACCGUUGAUCUGCUCAUGUUUAUCAAUGAAAUUAUCAUUUACAGUCUGGCGACGGCUGGCUGGACGUGAAAGGGACUUCUCGCAAAGAUGGGCGUAUAGCACCGUUGUCAGCUGUCCCGUGUGGAUUUUGCACACGGAGUGGCAGAUCUUUAACUAGGAUGAAAUAAUAGCUGAUCAAUUAUCGGUCUUUGAACUACAAGCGUAAAUACUUUAUGAACGCAAGCUAACCGUACUGGUGGCGUAAUGGUGUUCGUGGGUCAAAAUUAUAAAUGCUUUGUGAAAUGAAGUUCUAUCGAUCAUCCUCUAUCGAAUAAGUUCUGCCUCGAUGAUGCCAUCCAGUGAUGAAGCACAAAGCGCCACCUAGAUGAUGCUACCUCGAACUUAAAGCUCUGAAAAACAAAUUUGGAAACAGUUUCCAGAUUACCACGACAAUUACUGGCUACAUACGUUAAUCGAUAAUCAUGCCAUUCAAUGAUCAAAUGAACCUAAGGAACAUACGACGAUGCCUGUGUUGCAAGGCUUCGCUUAAAAUUGCCCCUUCUACUACAUUUGAUGUCAGUUGAAAACGAAUGUGGUGUAUUGCACGUACAGUUUGUGGAACGUUAGUCAUAGACGGUUGCCGCAUACGAGACAAGGUACAAUCUCUGGCGCCAGCCGGAAAGGGACUAGUAGAGAGGACGAUUUCGCUCUGGGAAGGAUCCUAGUUCGUUAACGGUGACGGGUGAAUUCGGAUACCAGAUAAAGGUAGUACUGCUAAUGGACAGCGGCGGCACUUCCUAUUAUGAGGCGAAAAGGAAACAAUAAAGGCAGCUCGUCAUUUUCGCUAUUUCGCUUAGAUUUUGUAGGAGACUCAUGGACCAUCGGCUUCUAUUACUUUCUGAAUUGAACAAAGGGAUAUUUUCACGUGCGUCUUAACCCGCUUAUUCUCUUAGAAUGUAAGUCUGUGAUACAAAACUUUUAUGCUUCCAAAAAGACAGCUAACAGGUAGGCAUAUUCUACUAUAUAUCUCGAGAAGCUAUAAAUAGGAGGAUUGCUGGUAGAUUUAUGGCUGUCAAGAAGCUGCCAGAUCAUUGGAACAAGCAUUGUAGCCCAACUAGUUUUAAGUUCUUUUAAAGUUUUCAGUUUUAAGUUCAACCGACUCGCUUGUAACAGCUCACCAUUACAAAGUAAUAUCCAAGCCUUGCCAGUUAAAAUGAGACGGUCUGCAGUCAAAAUAUGUUGAAUAUGUAGAUUAACGGCCUCUGGUUCACUCUAUACGCAUGAAGAUGUUAGAAAAGAGAUGCUAAAAUGAUUUUGGUGAGAAAAUAAGUAUUAUAUUGGAAAAUUUUGGCCUGGCAUUGAAUCCGAUCACGUUGAUAUCACCACUAGUUACUAUAUUAUUGAAGGGAAAUGUGAAUA